CCGGCUCUCAUGUUUGCAAAUCUAGCCCAGACGGUCACACUUCAGGACAUGGUCUCAUGGUAAGAAAAAUCCCCUUACAUUUUCUAGAUCAUGGUAACAAAAUUUUACACUAAAAUUAUUAUUACUUUUGACUAUUAUUGAUUGAAAUAAAAGGUGGUUUAUGCCGGUGAAUAUGGGACUUACAUUCUUAAUCGGAGGACUUCUUGGUUGGAUGGUUGUCAAAAUUCUGAAACCACCUCCUUAUCUUGAAGGUCUUAUUGUUGCAACUUGUUCUUCAGGUACGUGACAAAUUGUUUUUUUGGACCAUCCUAUAUAUGAACGUCAUCAUCAUCAAUCUACAUAUAGCGUGACAUCUAUUUUGUAUUGUUCUCAUGACAAAACUCAACUUUGGUUUAAUAGGAAAUAUGGGGAACCUACCAAUCAUACUUGUCCCAGCAAUCUGCGACGAGGACAAGAGUCCAUUUGGUAACCGUAGUGUAUGCAGAACCGUUGGUCUCUCUUACGCGUCUUUCUCCAUGGCGGUAUGUAAUAUUA
rnacentral:lncRNA from 1 species